rnacentral:sRNA from 1 species
GCCAGGCACAGUGGGGAGUGCCUGUAAUCCCAGCACUUGGAAGGCUGAGGCAGGAGGAUCACAAGUUCAAAGCCAGCCUCAGCAAUUUAGUGAGGCUCUAAAGCAACUCAGUGAUACCCUGUCUCUA